CCCAAAUCAGUGGGAGCAGUUACGUGGUUACUCAGAUUAUUCAGGUUAGAGAUGGCAGUGGCUUGGACCAGAGCAAUGAUGGUUUAGAUCAGGGGUCCCCAACCCCCGGGCUGCAGACCAUUACCUGUCCUCAGCCUGUUAGGAACAGAGUCGCACAACAGGAGGUGAGUGACAGGUGAGGGAGCAUUACCGCCUGAGCUCUACCUCCUAUCAGAUUGGUGGUGGCAUUAGAUUCUCACGGGAGUGCAAACUCUAUUGUGAAUUUGCACGUGAGGGAUCUAGGUUGCGUGCUCCUUAUGAGAAUCUGACUAAUGCCUGAUGAUCUGAGAUGGAACAGUUUCAUCCCGAAACCAUCCCCCUCACCCCACCCGUCCAUGGAAAAAUUGUCUUCCACUAAAUCGGUCUCUGGUGCCAAAAUGGUUGGGGACUGCUGGUUUAAAUGGUGAGGCAUGGUCAGAUUCCGGAUGUUUUGAAAAUUGAACCCAUAGUAUUAAACUGACGAAUUAGAUAUAAGAUGUAAGAUAAAGAAUCAAGGAUAAUGCCAAUUUUUGCCUGAGCAAUUGGAAUAAUGGAGUUGCCAUUAACAGAAGAGAUUCAAGUUCUGGGAGAAAGACUGGUUUUGGUCAUUUUAAGUUUUAGACGUUUAUUAGAUAUUCAAGUGCAGAUAGAUGCCCAGUUAUCCACAGGCAGCUGAAUAUAUCAGUCAAGCAUUUAGGAGAGAUCUGGAUUGGACACAAACAUUUAUGAGUUAUCAGUGUAUAGAUGGUGGUUGUAGGAGUGGUCAGUGCCCUGCCUAUAUCCUAUGAUCCUAGGAACUGCCAGUGUGCUCCUGCCAACUUUCAGCUGCUGCUGCUUUUUUUUUUUUUUUUUUUUUGUCUUUUUAGACAGGGUCUCACUCUGCCACCCACCCAGGCUGGGGUGCAGUGGCACAAAUCACAGCUCACUGCAGCCUUGAACCCUCAGACUCCAGGGAUCCUAUCUCAGCCAAGUAGCUGAGACUACAGGUGUGCACCACCAUGCCUUGCUAAUUUUUUAAAAAUUUUAUGUAAAGAUGGGAUGUCACUAUGUUGCUCAGACUUUCUUUUUAAACUGUGGAAAGCAGCUGUGUCGGUACACAUGGCAAGCCAGUAACUAACAUGUGCUAGAAUAGCCUUCACUCAGUAACCCUGGCAAGUUGUUAUAUAAAUACUCCAGGUCUCUUGCCCCUUAGGUGGGAUAAUUCUGAGGUAUAUAUUUUGCCAAACUCCCCAGAGUCUCCCUGGGGCACCAAACUCUAAUUGCCCACUUACCGUAGCUGGCUUAAUAGUAAACUUUUCAUUGGCUGCUUUCUCUUUCAUACACAAUUUCCCCAAUUUCCUACUGAUUACUUUCACGUGAAGCAUUGUUUUACGCUCUGCUUCUGGGAGAACCCAAACUAAGAUAAUUUAAAGCUAUGAGACUGGAUGAGAUCACCAAAUAAGUGAGCACAGAGAAGAAAAGAGGUGCAGACUCUGAGUACUAAAACCUGUGACAUUGAGGGGCCAGGGAAAUGAGGAGGAAACAGCAAAGGAAACGGGAUGUGCAGGUGUUGCAGGGAGGAGGCAGAGCUGGAUUCCAGUAGGGCUGGGGAUUGUCGGGACAGUUUGAGUACAAUGCAGUGGAGGGUGACAUAAUGAUGAGCCAUGGAAUUUAAGUUGAAUAAGGAGAGAAGUACAGGCAUCAGGGAAACAACCUGUGAAAAAGCCAUAGAAUCAAUGGAUUGAAAUCUCAGUGGGGUCAAAGAAUUGCUGGGGUUGAGGACCACAGGAAAAUUGUAGACACCAUGGGGUUAUUGGAGAGUGAGAUGCUUAAAACUGAGAUUUUGGAGGGGUGCAGUUAUUGUUAUUAAAAGGACGGGGCUCUAGAAUAAGACCAUAGAACUGAGUAUCUUCUCACUGGAGGAAACAAAAAGGGGCUGAGGGAGGCCAAGGAGUUGUAUUAGACCAUCACUUGGAUAUUGAAAUCAGCAAUGAUUAUUAGUAAUGGGGUGACACUGAACCGGGAGCUAAACUCUUCAACAAAUAAGAGGGAGUGACCAAGCUGGGAAUGAAAGAUAACUGCAACAAGAGUGAAAUGAAGACAGCUUUUUCUUGAACACUUACACAGUAUUUAGUAGGUGGCAAGCAGUUCUAAGCAGUUUGUAAAUAAUGUCAUUCAAUCUUCAUAA
rnacentral:lncRNA from 1 species